rnacentral:rRNA from 1 species
GUAGGUGGCAAGCGUUGUCCGGAAUUAUUGGGCGUAAAGCGCGCGCAGGUGGUUCUUUAAGUCUGAUGUGAAAGCCCCCGGCUCAACCGGGGAGGGUCAUUGGAAACUGGGGGAACUUGAGUGCAGGAGAGGAAAGUGGAAUUCCACGUGUAGCGGUGAAAUGCGUAGAUAUGUGGAGGAACGCCAGUGGCGAAGGCGACUUUCUGGCCUGUAACUGACACUGAGGCGCGAAAGCGUGGGGAGCAAACAGGGAUUAGAUACCCUGGUAGUCCACGCCGUAAACGAUGAGUGCUAAGUGUUGGGGGGGUUUCCCGCCCCUCAGUGCCUGCAGCUAACGCAUUAAGCACUCCGCCUGGGGAUACGGUCGCAAGACUG